UACAGAGCCCACAACCGUUAUCCGGAUUCAUUGGGCGUAAAGCGUCCGCAGGUGGUGUGUUAAGUCAGUGGUCAAAUCCUUGGGCCUAACCCAGGGACUGCCGUUGAUACUAACACACUCGAGGCUGGAAGAGGCAAGCGGAAUUCUCGGUGUAGUCGUAAUAAGCGCUGAUAUCGAGAAGAACACCAAAGGCGAAGGCAGCUUGCUAGUACAUGCCUGACACUCAUGGACGAAAGCGUGGGGAGCGAAUGGG
rnacentral:rRNA from 1 species